UACGGGGGAGCAAGCGUUGUUCGGAUUUACUGGGCGUAAAGGGCGCGUAGGCGGCCAGCACAAGUCAGUUGUGAAAUCUCCGAGCUUAACUCGGAAAGGUCAACUGAUACUGUGCGGCUAGAGUGCGGAAGGGGCAACUGGAAUUCUUGGUGUAGCGGUGAAAUGCGUAGAUAUCAAGAGGAACACCUGCGGCGAAGGCGGGUUGCUGGGCCGACACUGACGCUGAUGCGCGAAAGCUAGGGGAGCGAACGGG
rnacentral:rRNA from 1 species